AGUUAUAAACUUUAAGAAAUUAAAUUAUAAACUUUGUUGUUUUUAUUUAGGGUUCUUUAGGAAUUUGUAUUAAUUGUAUUGCCAAUAAUACUGUGUUGGUUAUCCCUUUGAUUGCACAUGGUAUUUAAAUGAGGAGUGAGAGGUUUACGAUAAGCAAGAGUGGGUUUCUUAGGAAUAUAUUAGGUAAUUUCUUUGGAAGAUUUACUAGUUCUAUAUCCUAUUGUAACAAAUAAAUUAUUAUAAUUAAUAAUUCAGGAAUUGUCUUAUAAUUGAAUGAAGUUGUGUACUCUCAUAUAUAUGGGGGUUAUACAGCUACGGAAAGUUAUUUGACUAUAAAAAAAUUGCUGCUAAAUUUGUUGUGAGAUGGAAUCUUUAGAUGCUUUUAAUAUGUUUGUAUAAUUUCUUUAAGUGUCUUUUAGUUUUUCGAUAAUGGGCGCGGUAGAAGAACUCAACACCAGUGCGGAGUAUUGACAAAAUAUGGAAAUAUAGAGUAAGCAAUAGGGAAUGAGGGCGGAAUAAUAAAGUGCCAGCAUUCGCGGUCAGUCUUUUUGACUCCAGCCAAUAAGUAUCGUAUAAUAGUAAGGAAUGAGGAGAAAACAGUUAUCUAUUAAUAGAUACGGUAAAAUGUGGCUAUGAUGAAAAAUAUUAUAGAAUCAUAAUAGUAAAAAUGAGAUAGUUUUUAAAGUAUAACCUAAUAAGGCUGCAUAACUGAGACAGGGAUCUGUACCCCAGUAUUAAAGCUUUCUAGUGGUGUACGGGUACUACGAGCAAACGUGCUUAAAAACCAAAGAGGUUGGCGGUGUUUCAAAUCCGGUUAGGGGAACUUGGCGAUUAAUUUGAUGAUCCUCGAACAUUUUACCUUUAGUAUUCUUUGCAUACCGCCGUUGAGACAGGCUUUUGGGGGUUGAAGAACUUAACACAAUAUAUAUGAAAAAAAAUAAAAUAAAAAGUAUUAAUACUAAAGAAUUUAAUUAUUUUUUAUUUAUAGAUGGUUCUUAUAUAGCAAUUCAGGUAAACGUGUAGGUUCUAAAGGGUUUAGCUGAGUUACAUUAUUUAUAAAUUUUCGGAUACUUCUAUUUAUAGGUGGUUGAAGGUGUACUUGUUAGUAAGAUUUUUAAUAGAAGAAAUCUGAAUAGAGUUAUGAAAUGCGUACAAAUCGCCCGGCGCCCUCGAAUAGAUAAAUUGAGGUAAGUCGUAACAUAGUAAUGCUAGUAGAAACUGGUGUUAAGUAUAAUA
rnacentral:rRNA from 1 species